UACGUAGGUGGCGAGCGUUGUCCGGAUUUACUGGGUGUAAAGGGCGUGUAGGCGGGGAAGCAAGUCAGAUGUGAAAACCCGAGGCUUAACCACGGGACUGCAUUUGAAACUGUUUUUCUUGAGUGACGGAGAGGCAAGCGGAAUUCCUAGUGUAGCGGUAAAAUGCGUAGAUAUUAGGAGGAACACCGGUGGCGAAGGCGGCUUGCUGGACGUUAACUGACGCUGAGGCGCGAAAGCGUGGGGAG
rnacentral:rRNA from 1 species